GAGGCGCAGCGAAAGCGAGUCUUAAUAGGGCGAUAGUUGCUGGGUGUAGACCCGAAACCAGAUGAUCUACUCAUGGCCAGGAUGAAGCGAGGGUAACACCUCGUGGAGGUCCGAACCCACUAAUGUUGAAAAAUUAGGGGAUGAGCUGUGGGUAGGGGUGAAAGGCUAAACAAAUCUGGAAAUAGCUGGUUCUCUCCGAAAACUAUUUAGGUAGUGCCUCAUGUAUCACCUUUGGGGGUAGAGCACUGUUAUGGCUAGGGGGUCAUUGAGACUUACCAAACCAUUGCAAACUCCGAAUACCAAAGAGUGCGAGCAUGGGAGACAGACAUCGGGUGCUAACGUCCUGUGUCAAAAGGGAAACAACCCAGACCCUCAGCUAAGGUCCCCAAGACACAAUUAAGUGGGAAACGAAGUGGGAAGGCAUAGACAGUCAGGAGGUUGGCUUAGAAGCAGCCACCCUUUAAAGAAAGCGUAAUAGCUCACUGAUCGAGUCGUCCUGCGCGGAAGAUGUAACGGGG
rnacentral:rRNA from 1 species